GGGCACGUAGCUCAGUUGGUUUAGAGCACCGCCAAUGUUGCGGAAGGACGCGGGUUCGAGUCCCGCCGUGUCCU
rfam:Phytophthora nicotianae strain race 0 contig3317, whole genome shotgun sequence.